rnacentral:rRNA from 1 species
ACGGAGGGAGCUAGCGUUGUUCGGAAUUACUGGGCGUAAAGCGCACGUAGGCGGCGAUUCAAGUCAGAGGUGAAAGCCCGGGGCUCAACCCCGGAACUGCCUUUGAAACUAGAUUGCUAGAAUCCUGGAGAGGUUAGUGGAAUUCCGAGUGUAGAGGUGAAAUUCGUAGAUAUCAAGUGGAACACCGGUGGCGAAGGCGGCCUUCUGGACGGUGACUGACGCUGAGACGCGAAAGCGUGGGGAGCAAACAGGA